UCUUAUUAUUCUUAGUUCUCACUCCAAACCACACGAUAUUUAUAUGAAGUAUCCGAUAGAUGUUGUUCAUGUUAUGCAGCUCUCUCAGAGGUCAGAGAGCGCUCGUCUCCAGCGCCGCUGCUGCUUGCUUGCAGUUGCAGUUGCUGCAGCUGCUGCUUUUGCCAGUCCUCGAUCGCCUGACGGAGCCGCGUGUUUGGAAUCAGCACAUCGUGGGACAUCCCGUCUGCUGCAACGUGGGGGUCUCUCAUCAUCUCCUGUUCCACCAACCAAACCGUGCAUGGGACCGGAACUUGAUUCACAUUUCUGAAGAAAAUAAAUAAAGCACAUUCGCUAGAGAGCACUGUGUGUCGCUUCACUACUGACCUUAGUGAUUGGACAUACGAAGUACCACGGCGCAGAAGACCUGCCUGAUGAGUCAUCAUCAACUUCACUUAACAAGGUGUCUACCUUGGUUUCAUAAGUUUCUAUAACUCGCUGUUUUUCCGCCAUUUCCUCUUUGUGCUUAUUUCUAGCAGACUCCAGCUCUGCUGUUUUUUUUCUCGACUCGUACCUGCUGCACUAACAACUGCGCAUUCUUCUUCUCAACCAAUUUCUUGUAUUUUUCUUUCUGUAGAAACAACAUUACUUUAUUAAUAGAUACAUAAGCAUUGCAUUGCAAGCUUUCCAAAAAAAAUGAUAAAUAUAGAUGUAUACCAUUUCAUCAGCAGAUUGUAGUAGGCGCCGUUCCGCUUUGUGGCGAGCCACUUCAUCUUUGUGGCAAGCCUCUUUAACAGAGAGUAGCUCUCGUUGGACUUGGUGAAGCGUCUCUUCAGUAGGUGAUGGAGGUGUUGCAAAAACAUGCGUGCCUCAAUUCCUAUAUCAGUUCACAGCUAUAUGAACUACCAAAGCAUAUGGCAUGAGAGCCCAUAUCCAUACUUAGAGUAGUGUUCAUCUGCAGCUGCUCCCACGACAAGAUUGGUUAUGUCUUCUCUAGCAAUAAGCUCCAUAAGCCCUUCUGCAACAUCAUCCUUCUCAAUCAAUAUUUUCUUACUGCUAACCUGCAAAGCACAAUGACGGCAGAAAAAUUAUGAAAGUAGGUACACUUCUUAAUUCGUCUCCCUGCUUGUGUAAGGUGUUUCUCGAUUCUUUAAACUAAUGGUUCACUUCCUAAAGGAGGCAUUACAGAGGUGCAGAUUCGCACCUCCAGAAGGAGGUAUUAGAGAAAACAGAUUCACACCUUUAGUAUUUUGCAUAUCUUAACAUAUUCCUUGAGUUUCUUCGUUGCAACUUCCUUUGUUUUUGCCUUUGCCUUUGCUAGCUUUGUCCUUUCUAUCUCCGCUGCAUCUGCAGAUGCAUUUGUCAAAAGGCUAUGAAGCAAAUCCUCUCCUUGAAUUUGUCAAAAGACUAAGAAAAAGAAGCCCCCCCCCCCCUCUAGUCUGAUGUAGCA